rnacentral:lncRNA from 1 species
AAGGUCUGGAGAGGCACGGGGGCAGGGUGGAGGUCGUCGAAGGCGGGGGCUGCAAGCAGCAGCCGCUCUAGCGCUGGAGCCAGGUGGUACCGGCCCAGGGUGGCUGAGCCUCUGGCCUCUGCGCCCCGGCAGGGCACCUCCUCUCCCUCCCGGCUACUAUCAGUGCCAGGACCCAGCUGGAAGCCCGCGAGCUUCAAGCCGAGUGGUGACUGCAGGAUCAGAACGGCCACUGGCUCUGUGCACCCUCCCUUUGCAGGCCCGAUUAUCCGCCUCGUUGCCUGCGCCUCGAUUCAAACCCGGGGCUUCACUGCGCGGCCCUCCAGUGCUGGAAUUCGUGAGGAGCCCUCGGGAGCAAAGUGCGGACUCAGGCCUGCCCCCCGUCGGAGGGGCGGGCGUUCGUCUGCGGUCGCAGUGAAAGCGGGGCUGUGCUGCGCUCGGCAGCCGGUGUGCGUGGAGCGGGGGCGGCGCCGAGGCCGGGAGGAGGCAGGGCCACGGGCGCCAAGGCCUGCGCCUGGGAAGUCGCUGCAGGGGCCUCGCCCGCACCCGCGAAGGGUCCUGCGCUCUCCUGGGCGCCGUCCCCACAGCGGGAGCCCAAUCCCCCGGCCUGGAGUGGACGUCCUGCCCGCGCUGCUCCCGCCGCCUCCGCUGAGGCCCGGCCUGGACGCGCGGGCGGGACGCUCCUCGGGGAGCGCUUUCCUUCCUCACAUCGCUCUUUUCGCGUCCCGAGUCCCCGGGACCCCGCUGGCCGCCUCCUUCCCAGAGAGCGCAGGGCCGCGCCAGUCCUGCCCGCCCCCAGGGGCCGCAGCUUCCAGAGGGCGCUUCCGGGCAGGAGGGCGGGCUUGUGCUUUGCUAGCGGCCGCAACGCGCGCGGAGCCCGCGUCCCGGCGUCUGGGAGCAGAGGUCGCCAGGGCUUGUGCGUCCGAUGCGGACACGGGGACGGCUGCGCCCCGGGACUGCAGUCCUUAUCACGAGCCUGAAGGCCGCGCCCGCCCACUGGCGGCCGCGCUGGCGCCCAACAGUCAGAGGCGGUGA